UCAGGAUGAACGCUAGCGGCAGGCUAACACAUGCAAGUCGAGGGGCAGCGGGAUGUAGCAAUACAUUGCCGGCGACCGGCGGAUGGGUGCGUAACGCGUAUGCAACCUACCUUAUACAGGGGAAUAACCUUUCGAAAGGGAGACUAACACCCCAUAGUAUUGAUUUAAGGCAUCUUAGAUUAAUUAAAUAUUUAUAGGUAUAAGAUGGGCAUGCGUAUGAUUAGCUAGUUGGUAAGGUAACGGCUUACCAAGGCGACGAUCAUUAGGGGUUCUGAGAGGAAGGUCCCCCACACUGGUACUGAGACACGGACCAGACUCCUACGGGAGGCAGCAGUGAGGAAUAUUGGUCAAUGGGCGCAAGCCUGAACCAGCCAUGCCGCGUGCAAGGAAGACGGCCUUAUGGGUUGUAAACUGCUUUUACAUAAGACUAACCGUAUAUUUGCGAAUAUACCUGAAUGUAUUAUGAGAAUAAGGAUCGGCUAACUCCGUGCCAGCCGCCGC
rnacentral:rRNA from 1 species